GGCCCCAUAGUCUAGCGGUUAGGACGUUGCCCUCUCACGGCAGUAACACGGGUUCGAAUCCCGUUGGGGCUGCCA
rnacentral:tRNA from 3 species